rnacentral:lncRNA from 1 species
UGCACACACUAAUCUCUUAUCUCUCUAUUUUGCUAUUGCAAAGCAGCAGACUUUAACCUAAUUUAUCCAUUUUAAGUAAGUGGUAUAAUAGAAGUGGGUUGGUUAUAUUGGUAUUUUUAAAAAAACUUUAAUAUCUCUUAAUUUGCAUUUUAUUAAUGAUUCCAUGAUAACAUACUUUCUUUUUUGAAUUAAUAGAAAAAUCAGUUAAGACUUGUGCUCAAGAGCCAUUCCUACCACAUUGAACUCACAUUAAGACUCUUUUUCAGUAUUUUAAGUUUUUUAGUGUCAUUUCAUCAUUGGUGAGCCAAUAAUAAAAUCCUACCUACCUAACAAGUUAUGAUCAUCAGUAUGAUCACCUGGACAAAACAUGUUCUCUUCAGGCACUCCUGAAAAACUCCUGGGAGUGUUUCUCAGUCAAUAGAGUAUUUUCCUAGGAUACACAAAACCCUGAUUUUAUCCCAGCACCACAUAAAAGCCAACUAUGGUGAUGCACGCCUAUAAUCCCAGCACUCCAGAAGAAAAGACAGCAGAAUGGGAUGUUGAAAUUAUCCUGUAUUUGUCAGGCAUGAUGGGGUGUACCUUUGGUCCCAGCAGAGAUAGGUAGACUCUGAGUCCGAGGCCAUCCUGGUCUGUCUACAGAGUGAGUUCCAAAAAGUAAGGCCUGUAAGGAGAAACCCUGUCUUAAAGAACCAAAAAAGAAAAAAGAAAAAGAAAAAAGGAAAAGAAAAAAAAGAGAUUAUCCUAUAUUAUAUAAUGGGUCAGAGGCUAGCCUAGGCUACAUAAGACCAUGUCUUUCUUUCUUCCUUUCUUCCUCUCUUUCUUCCUUUCUUUCUUCCUUUUUCUUUCUUUCCUUCUUUUUUUCUUUCAAGGAAGGAGGAUAGAUAGAUCUGUUCACAGUACACAGCUGCUAUUAAUGGUGGUAGUAGUAGUAUAAGAAAGAAACAAGAAAGAUCUGCUUAUACUACAUAGCUGCUAGAAAGCAAGGAAGGAAAGAAGACAGACAGACAGAUGUGCUCAUAGUGUGCCGCUGCUGUUAAUGGGGGAUGGUAGUGUUUGGCGCCCAUGGCGCAUACUCAGAAACUGUGAAGAUCACCGUGAAAACCAGAGCUACAUGACUUGUUUCCUUUUGGAGAAAAAUCAUAGACUCCCAAUCAAGAGAAUUGUGUGGUGUCAAGCUUUGUUUUGUUUUCAGUACUGUGAUGUAGGCAAGGCCAUUACCUCUGAGAUGACACCCUUAGCCCUAAGGGUUUAGUUACUCAGGUCAGGGGCUAGAGAGAUGGCUCUGUGACCAAGAGCUCUUGAUGCUUGUAGCGAGGACCUGGGUUCAGUUCUCAGCUCCCACAUGGUUGGUGGCUCAAAACCACUUAUAACUCCAGUUCCAGGUGACCCAAGGCGCCUCUCUGGCCCCUGCACAUACUACAUGCAUCUGAUAUGCUGACAUGCUGCAGGCAACAUCUAUAUACACACAAAAUAAAAAUAAAUAUUUUUUUAAAAAAUUUCUGGCCAAUGAGCCCAUUUGGACAUAAAGGAUUCUAUUGUGGCUCCCGUCUAUGACCCCAGAACUUGGAGGCUGGCAUAAGAGGAUUGCACUAGUCUGAGGCAGGCCUGGUCUGUAUGAGUGAGUUCAGGCUAGCAAGGGCAACAGAGUGAGAUACUAGCUUU